CUUUAUUAAUAUAAAAUCUUAUAUUUAAGCCUUAUAUCUGGAGAAACUAGCCUGGAGGAGAUGAUCUCUGUUACAUCUCUUUAUAAGGAAAGAUUGGAUUCACUGAAGGCUUCUAUGCAAACAUUAUCUGAAAGAUCUGCGAACCUGCGUGAGCGUGCUGCUCGGGUGCAAGAGGAGAAGCAAGCGGAAGCAUUGAACAGGGAGUCUAGACGAGCAGCUAAACAGGU